UACAGAGGUGGCAAGCGUUGUCCGGAAUCAUUGGGCGUAAAGCGCGUGUAGGCGGCCCGGUAAGUCCGCUGUGAAAGUCCAGGGCUCAACCCUGGGAUGCCGGUGGAUACUGUCGGGCUCGAGUCCGGAAGAGGCGAGUGGAAUUCCUGGUGUAGCGGUGAAAUGCGCAGAUAUCAGGAGGAACACCAAUGGCGAAGGCAGCUCGCUGGGACGUGACUGACGCUGAGACGCGAAAGCGUGGGGAGCAAACAGG
rnacentral:rRNA from 1 species